rnacentral:rRNA from 1 species
CAGCAGUAGCCGCGGUAAUACGAAGGGUGCAAGCGUUAAUCGGAAUUACUGGGCGUAAAGCGUGCGUAGGCGGUGAGUUAAGUCUGCUGUGAAAUCCCCGGGCUCAACCUGGGAAUGGCAGUGGAUACUGGCUCGCUAGAGUGUGUCAGAGGAUGGUGGAAUUCCCGGUGUAGCGGUGAAAUGCGUAGAGAUCGGGAGGAACAUCAGUGGCGAAGGCGGCCAUCUGGGACAACACUGACGCUGAGGCACGAAAGCGUGGGGAGCAAACAGGAUUAGAUACCCCUGUAGUCCCUGUCUCUUAUAC